UGUGACGUGAAGCCAGUCACGUCAUAAACAUUCUUAAUUUAAGACAUUGCGUAAUUAUGCUAACUCAUGCUUUACUAUAUUUAUCGUUUACGUGGUAUCUAAAAAUAGUAUGACGUAAUGUUUUAUUAAUACCUAUCGGACAGUAUAUAAGCAGCGAAAGCUUAAGAUAGUGGGAAAUCAAAAGUUUAAGAGAUAAUUGUUGUUGUUAAAGAAGAAGAGUUUGAUAUUGUGAAGUUAUUGUCGUCGUGAAAACUUAAAGGAAAGGAACUAUAUUAUAAAGUGUGAAAGGACAAAGUCUGAAAAGCAAAGCUGUGUCAUUGUCAUUAGACAGAUAAGUUUAAACUAUCCUGAUUCUUCGUUCUUUUAGUUUUCCUUUAUUAAUAAAUAAUAUAAAAAUAUAAGACUUUUCUGUUUUUAAGUCUUUCUUGUUACGGUGAACGUAACACUGUGUACUGUACAAGGUAGUACAAUCUUGCACUGUCGCUGUCGGUCUUCAGCUCGAUGAGUGUUUCGAAAGCGCGGAU